rnacentral:rRNA from 1 species
AAAACGACUCUCGGCAACGGAUAUCUCGGCUCUCGCAUCGAUGAAGAACGUAGCGAAAUGCGAUACUUGGUGUGAAUUGCAGAAUCCCGUGAAUCAUCGAGUCUUUGAACGCAAGUUGCGCCCGACGCCAUUCGGCCGA